rnacentral:rRNA from 1 species
GAUGAACGCUAGCGGGAGGCUUAACACAUGCAAGUCGAGGGGUAAAUGGUAGCAAUACUAUGAGACCGGCGGACGGGUGCGUAACGCGUAUGCAACAUACCUUUAGCAGGGGGAUAGCCCGUGGAAACGCGGAUUAAUAUUCCAUAGUCCAGCAGUAUCGCAUGGUACCACUGGUAAAGAUUAAUCGGCUAAAGAUUGGCAUGCGUCUGAUUAGUUAGUUGGUAGGGUAACGGCCUACCAAGGCGACGAUCAGUAGGGGUUCUGAGAGGAUUACCCCCCACACUGGUACUGAGACACGGACCAGACUCCUACGGGAGGCAGCAGUGAGGAAUAUUGGUCAAUGGGCGGAAGCCUGAACCAGCCAUCCCGCGUGAAGGAAGACAGCCUUACGGGUUGUAAACUUCUUUUCUGUUUGAAGAAUAAGCCCGUUGAGACGGGUGAUGCCGGUAGGACAGGAAUAAGCAUCGGCUAACUCCGUGCCAGCAGCCGGGUAAACUAGUCUACG